rnacentral:rRNA from 1 species
UACAGAGGUCCCGAGCGUUGUUCGGAUUCAUUGGGCGUAAAGGGUGCGCAGGCGGUUAUAUAAGGCAGAUGUGAAAUCCCCGGGCUCAACCUGGGAACUGCGUUUGUGACUGUAUGACUAGAGUACGGUAGAGAGGGGUGGAAUUCCUGGUGUAGCAGUGAAAUGCGUAGAUAUCAGGAGGAACAUCGAUGGCGAAGGCAGCCCCUUGGACCUGUACUGACGCUCAUGCACGAAAGCGUGGGGAGCAAACAGG